rnacentral:rRNA from 1 species
UACGGGGGGGGCAAGCGUUGUUCGGAAUUACUGGGCGUAAAGGGCUCGUAGGCGGCCAACUAAGUCAGACGUGAAAUCCCUCGGCUUAACCGGGGAACUGCGUCUGAUACUGGAUGGCUUGAGUGUGGGAGAGGGAUGCGGAAUUCCAGGUGUAGCGGUGAAAUGCGUAGAUAUCUGGAGGAACACCGGUGGCGAAGGCGGCAUCCUGGACCAGGACUGACGCUGAGUGAGCGAAAGCCAGGGGAGCAAACGGG